ensembl:lncRNA
AAAAAAAAAAAAAAAAAAAUGUCCCUACAAUAAUACACUAAAAUUUGUUCAAACAUGGAAUUGCAUAUAGGCUCAACAAAAUUAUUUUAUUUGGAUUUAGCAUUGUUUUUCUCAGAACAGACCUGAAACCCGCCGGCUGAGAAAAUGUCUUCCUGAUAUCACAAGAAUGUUUGCAUAUAUGCAGAUACUGAACGUAAUAAUGUGACUGGUUAAACAGACAACUGUAAAGGAUGCUCCUGCUCUCUCUUAUGUGUCCUUCCUGCAACUGUCUUUAAACUUUUGUUCCUUUUUCUUUGAUUGCUCUCCUCUUCAGACUUGCUGUCUGCAGGCGUGAGAAACGUAUCCCUCGCUAGCCUUCAGGCCAGAGCUGUAGUUCCUGUGAGCAGAGCGUCGAGGGUGUUAAUGUUCCCACAUAAGGCUGCACUGUAAAUUUAAAUGACAGUAUGUGAGUGACUGACAGACUGGUGUUGACUUCUUUGAUGCUGAACCCUUGAUCAAUCGUGAAACUGUCACCUAGUAGAUGAAGAAUCAAUACAUAUGUCCCUGGCACACAAAAAAAGGUUUACAUCUCCAGCUCCUCCCGCGUUCACUUGUGGCUGGAAGGUCACCUGCUGGCACAGACGGAUCUCCUGAGCCACUACUGUACUGUACUGUACUGUACUGUACUGUACCACCAACCAGGCCAAGACUGGGAGUCAGAUCUGCUCCAGUACUGAGAUUAGUGACAGAUAUCAUCUUCGGCCAUGUUCAUUAACUGUGCCCAAAUCCCUGACCGAUUAACAGCUGUCCUGGUCAGUAGUUACUCCUUGUGACAGUUUCAAAAUAUACACACACUAAUCAUUAAUAUUUAGGCCUUAAAUCUGUGUAUUUGAAAUGAAAUGUCUAUCCAUAUGGAUUGCAGUUUCAUCAUAAACAAACUGAUAAACUUAAUGUGAUGCAUAUUUAUCUGUCAUACAUAAAUGCAGCAGGUAAUAUUUCUGUAAUAGUACUGAUAAACAGAAUGUGUUUUAAAUGCACAAUAACCAGGUGUAUAUAAUUAUCAUCAAUAUAUAUUUUUCUUUCUAAUUUACAUUUUAAUGAAUUAAAUGAAAUAUUGCUCGUUCCACGGGUAUGCAUGGUUUAACCAUGUUCAUACUUUUCACCUGACAAAAUAUAAUUGUUUUCACCAUCAACAGAUUUAUGCUGAUUCUAAACGAUUUAAAUGAGUGUAUUUUAAAAAUAUGGUUAUUUAAAUCAAAUCAAAUAGAUGAAAACGAAUAAUGGAUGGAAUGAAAUUUUAUAUGCAAUUCAAAUAACCUAAAUCUUAAAUGUAGCCCUAAAUAUUUUUUAGAGACAGCAUUUUCAAUUAACUUUUUGGGUAAAUAAUUAAACCAAAUGUUUAUUUAAUUUUAUUUAAGCUUUCAUGCACAAAAGUAAAAGACAACUAGUGAAAAUGCUUUCAUUUUGCACGUACAAUAAAAAGUACACAUUUUAAAAUCA